rnacentral:rRNA from 1 species
UGAGAGCUUGCUUUUGAUUAUUUUAGCGGCGGACGGUUGAGUAACGUGUGGGCAACUUACCUUUUACUGUGGAAUAAUCGUUGGAAACGACGACUAAUACCGCAUACGGUUCUUGGAAGGCAUCUUCUAAGAAAGAAAGGAGUAAUUCGGUAAAAGAUGGGCCCGCAUCUGAUUAGCUAGUUGGUGAGAUAAUAGCCCACCAAGGCAACGAUCAGUAGCCGACCUGAGAGGGUGACCGGCCACAUUGGGACUGAGACACGGCCCAAACUCCUACGGGAGGCAGCAGUGGGGAAUAUUGCACAAUGGGCGAAAGCCUGAUGCAGCAACGCCGCGUGAAGGAAGACGGUUUUCGGAUUGUAAACUUCUAUCAAUAGGGAAGAAAGAAAUGACGGUACCUAAAUAAGAAGCCCCGGCUAACUACGUGCCAGCAGCCGCGGUAAUACGUAGGGGGCAAGCGUUAUCCGGAAUUACUGGGUGUAAAGGGAGAGUAGGCGGCAAGGUAAGCGAUAUGUGAAAGCCUUAAGCUUAACUUAAGGAUGGCAUAACGAACUAUCUAGCUAGAGUACAGGAGAGGAAAGCGGAAUUCCUAGUGUAGCGGUGAAAUGCGUAGAUAUUAGGAAGAACACCAGUGGCGAAGGCGGCUUUCUGGACUGAAACUGACGCUGAGGCUCGAAAGCGUGGGGAGCGAACAGGAUUAGAUACCCUGGUAGUCCACGCUGUAAACGAUGAGUGCUAGGUGUCGG